rnacentral:rRNA from 1 species
AUUGAACGCUGGCGGCAUGCCUAACACAUGCAAGUCGAGCGAGCGGCGGACGGGUGCGUACGGGAUGGGGACUGCCCGUUAGCUACGGAUAACUACGGGAAACGGUGGCUAAUACCGCAUACUGGCGGCUACGCCAUAUGGGAUUAGCUAGUAGGGAAGGUAAUGGCUUACCUAGUCGACGAUCCCUAGCUGGUCUGAGAGGAUGAUCAGCCACACUGGGACUGAGACACGGCCCAGACUCCUACGGAGGCAGCAGUGGGGAAUAUUGGACAAUGGGCGAAAGCCUGAUGCAGCCAUGCCGCGUGUAUGAAGAAGGCCCUAGGGUUGUAAAGUACUUUCAGUCGGGAGGCGUUACCUACAGAAGAAGCACCGGCUAACUCCGUGCCAGCAGCCGCGGUAAUUC